CCUACGGGAGGCAGCAGUGAGGAAUAUUGGUCAAUGGACGAGAGUCUGAACCAGCCAAGUAGCGUGAAGGAUGACUGCCCUAUGGGUUGUAAACUUCUUUUAUAGGGGAAUAAAAUGUUCCACGUGUGGGAUGUUGUAUGUACCAUAUGAAUAAGGAUCGGCUAACUCCGUGCCAGCAGCCGCGGUAAUACGGAGGAUGCGAGCGUUAUCCGGAUUUAUUGGGUUUAAAGGGUGCGUAGGCGGAAUAUCAAGUCAGCGGUCAAAAUUCGGGGCUCAACCCCGUCGUGCCGUUGAAACUGAUGUUCUUGAGUGGGCGAGAAGUAUGCGGAAUGCGUGGUGUAGCGG
rnacentral:rRNA from 1 species